GUCAUAUGCUUGUCUCAAAGAUUAAGCCAUGCAUGUCUCAGUACAAGCCAAAUUAAGGUGAAACCGCGAAAGGCUCAUUAAAUCAGUUAUGGUUCCUUAGAUCGUACCCACAAUUACUUGGAUAACUGUGGUAAUUCUAGAGCUAAUACAUGCAAACAGAGCUCCGACCGGAGACGGAAGGAGUGCUUUUAUUAGAUCAAAACCAAUCGGUGGCGGGUUCUCGCUCGUCAUCGUACAAUUUGGUGACUCUGAAUAACUUUACGCUGAUCGCACGGUCAUCGCACCGGCGACGCAUCUUUCAAAUGUCUGCCUUAUCAACUGUCGAUGGUAGGUUCUGCGCCUACCAUGGUUGUAACGGGUAACGGGGAAUCAGGGUUCGAUUCCGGAGAGGGAGCCUGAGAAACGGCUACCACAUCCAAGGAAGGCAGCAGGCGCGCAAAUUACCCACUCCCGGCACGGGGAGGUAGUGACGAAAAAUAACGAUACGGGACUCAUCCGAGGCCCCGUAAUCGGAAUGAGUACACUCUAAACCCUUUAACGAGGAUCAAUUGGAGGGCAAGUCUGGUGCCAGCAGCCGCGG
rnacentral:rRNA from 1 species